AUGGCCACCAUCCUGGAGAACAUCCAGAAGGCGCGGUUCCUGCCGACGAGGCCGCUGAGGGACGACCUGCCCACCUUCCAGGGCGGCAAGGAGGAGGAGAGCCACCUCAUGGGCCUGCGGAAGCGCCUCUCCAGCUUCUCCGGCAAGAUCCAGCCCAUCUCCUCCGCGUCCGCCGAGUGGGCGUUCAGGCGGACCCGGUCGGCGCCGUCGCUCGCCGCCGAGUUCGCGGGCGGCCCGCUCAAGCGCUGGUGGGACUGGGGCCUCGGCUGGCUGCUCUCCAAGAAGCUCGGCUUCGCCGGCGACCUGGAGAUGAACGAGGAGGAGGCGGCCGCGCUCGGCCGCCAAAGCAGGGGCACCUGGGCCCACGUCCUCUACAAGGUGCGCUCCGGGGUCCGCCGCCUCGUCGCGUCCGACCACUCGCUGCCCACCACGCACCACCGCAAGGCCUCGCUGCCCCCGUCCUCCUCCGCGCACCAGCACUGCAAGCCCGCGCCGCAGUUCGCCUACACCCAGAGCUUCCAGUACGGCCAAGCAAUGGCGCACUAA
rnacentral:rRNA from 1 species